GCCGCGCUCCCGCCGCGGCCACAGGAAGCACGGCGGCGGCUCCAGGCGUGCCGGGCCGCGUAGUUCCUGGGGCAACUGCGCCGAGGAAGCCGCCAGGGUGUUGUGGAGCGUAGAACUACGAUUCCCAGGAAGCGGCGGGGCGGUGUACCCGGGCUGCCAAGCGAGGGCCUUGUGCCGCGAAGAGAAGAUUUGCACUUGCUAGUGCUGGCUGAUGAGAUGCCGCUAGUUAAAAAAAAAAAACAAAAAUAGAAAAAAAAUAAAUAAAAGAGGAUCACUUAUUUUCUUGCAUGUUUUUGAGGUCAGUAUGGUGACAAAAUGUCAUCAUACAUGACCCGUGCCAUAACAAACAGUGCUGGUCUUCACCUGACUGGCUGGGCAGUGAUGUAUCGUGGGCCUCCUGACGCACUCAGCGAGGAAAUUCACCAUCAUCUUUCACCUUUGAGUCACUCUUAGAAUCCAAGUGUACGUGGUGGGUUUUGACCAUUAGAAGACUUUGGUCCCUGAGUCAAGAAGUCUGUCCAGCUGCUAUCAAAGGAACUUGCAAUACUAGGGAUGGUGCUAUGCAAGUAAAUUAAACUGUACAAAAGUA